rnacentral:rRNA from 1 species
CCUACGGGGGGCAGCAGUGAGGAAUAUUGGUCAAUGGACGAGAGUCUGAACCAGCCAAGUAGCGUGAAGGAUGACUGCCCUAUGGGUUGUAAACUUCUUUUAUAUGGGAAUAAAAUGUUCCACGUGUGGGAUUUUGUAUGUACCAUAUGAAUAAGGAUCGGCUAACUCCGUGCCAGCAGCCGCGGUAAUACGGAGGAUCCGAGCGUUAUCCGGAUUUAUUGGGUUUAAAGGGAGCGUAGGUGGAUUGUUAAGUCAGUUGUGAAAGUUUGCGGCUCAACCGUAAAAUUGCAGUUGAAACUGGCAGUCGUGAGUACAGUAGAGGUGGGCGGAAUUCGUGGGGUAGCGGUGAAAUGCUUAGAUAUCACGAAGAACUCCGAUUGCGAAGGCAGCUCACUGGACUGCAACCGACACUGAGGCUCGAAAGUGUGGGUAUCAAACAGGAUUAGAUACCCGUGUAGUC